GUUGCCCCUUGAGGCGUUGCAGUCCGACCGCAUGUGGUUGAGACUGUGUCAGAAGGUGGCAUAGAGGAAAAAGCUCUAGGUCUACACUUGUCACUCAUAAU